rnacentral:lncRNA from 1 species
UUUUUUGGAGGAGCAGGGGAGGCUUUUUCUUCUGAUCAACAGGGUGUUUUUCCGGAAAAUUUGUCUUUAGAAUUACGACACAAAAAUGAUUCUAUUCGAUAACAUCAAGAGACACGGUUCAGUAUAAGGGCUGUAUUGACGUUCUUUUUGAAUGGGUAUUUGUUCCCGCCCUUUCCCAGCAUCUCCUGACGCGCACUCGCGCAGCCCCCGUUGCUCUAGGUGAAGCUCAACUCACUCACGAGCUUCAGAAUGAAGCAGGUGUCCAACAUGGCGAACACGAGCAACGGAUCUCUCGCAACUCUCCUCAUUUUAUUCACCAUUUCGGCAGCUAUCCACACAGGUAAGUCUCUCCCUGACAUUUUGGAUGUAAUUCUUGCUGGCCUGGGGUUAACGUCGGCGGUCCUGACCAUUGCCGGUCUGAUCUCUGUAUUCAGGAGCUGCUCAGUUUCCCAGGUAUGGCUUCCCUUUUACCUCUUGUGUUCGUGUGUUGUGUUUUUUUUUUUUUUUUUUUUCAUUCCCAUUUCCCAAAUAGCUUGUCCUUUACAGCUAGCAGUGCUGGUCAUAACCAAACCAUCUCGCCUUUCUUCAGGCUUUCCUCCUCUGACUACUUCUCUCUCUACCUCCACCGGUGCAGGUGCUGUACAGUAUCUCUCCAGCACUCCAUAUUUUUCUUCCCUUCUAACAUCAUUCGUCUCUCACCUUUCAGGACAGAAAUUAUGCCUCGUUCUCUCUGGUGUCUCAUCCAAUGAAUUUCUCCAUUUUCACAGAGAACAUUUACUCCAGAUAUGCAAUCAUUUCUUCUUCAAACGUGGGGAAUGUGUUUUGAAGGAGGACGGUAAAAUAAGUCAUUUGGUAAACCAUACUCAAACUCUCCACUCUAUCAAUGUCUCGCCAGCGCCUCUCAGGUCUUCCUCAUUUCAUUUCUUACCAUUUUUUUUUUUUUGA